rnacentral:tRNA from 3 species
UGCCUCGUAGCUCAGUGGUAGUAGCGAUCGCCUGUUAAGCGAAAGGUCGCAGGUACCCUGCGGGAAGCCGCUUCGCGUCUACGAUACCUGCCGAGGCAGCCA